GACGAACGCUGGCGGCGUGCUUAACACAUGCAAGUCGAACGGAAAGGCCCUGCUUUUGUGGGGUGCUCGAGUGGCGAACGGGUGAGUAACACGUGAGUAACCUGCCCUUGACUUUGGGAUAACUUCAGGAAACUGGGGCUAAUACCGGAUAGGAGCUCCUGCUGCAUGGUGGGGGUUGGAAAGUUUCGGCGGUUGGGGAUGGACUCGCGGCUUAUCAGCUUGUUGGUGGGGUAGUGGCUUACCAAGGCUUUGACGGGUAGCCGGCCUGAGAGGGUGACCGGCCACAUUGGGACUGAGAUACGGCCCAGACUCCUACGGGAGGCAGCAGUGGGGAAUAUUGCACAAUGGGCGGAAGCCUGAUGCAGCAACGCCGCGUGCGGGAUGACGGCCUUUGGGUUGUAAACCGCCUUCGCCUGUGACGAAGCGUGAGUGACGGUAAUGGGUAAAGAAGCACCGGCUAACUACGUG
rnacentral:rRNA from 1 species